rnacentral:rRNA from 1 species
CGCCCUUCCGGGGAAACCUUGAGCCAGCCUGCCGCGUGCCGGAGAACCCCCUACGGCGGGAAAACUCCUUUUUUGCCCAAUGAUAACUUGUAACUAAGGCUGGGGUUGAAAAGGCCUCCCCACCGGCUCCCUGCGUACCCGGGGACCCGGUAAUUCCGGAGGUGCAGGGGUUGUCCGGAAUCCCUGGGCGUGAUGGUGUGCAGGGGGCAUAGCCAGUCAGGACGAAAGCCCCCGGCUUAACCCUGGAAGUGCCCUUGGAACUGCAAUUCUUGAGUCCUGCGUAGGUCAAUGGAAUUCGUGGUGUUCCGGUGGAAUGCCUCAAUAUCAAAAAGAACACCAAACACCUACGCUAAC